CGCGGGAUGGAGCAGUUGGUAGCUCGUCGGGCUCAUAACCCGAAGGUCACAGGUUCGAGUCCUGUUCCCGCUA
rfam:Belliella baltica DSM 15883, complete genome.